rnacentral:lncRNA from 1 species
UCUCACUAAAGGCUUGGUGCUAGAAUAUGGCAUUUGUGUCUGUGUGCAUGCUUUUGAUAGUCUUUUCUGUAAUUGUGUGCAUGCUUUUGAUAGUCUUUUCUGUAAUUGUGUGCAUGCUUUUGAUAGUCUUUUCUGUAAUUGUGUGCAUGCUUUUGAUAGUCUUUUCUGUAAUUGUCCUGAUACGCGCAGUCAAAAGCAAGCAUGCUAUCUAGAUUCCGUGAUUGGUUUGGGUCCUCAUUGUCAAUACCACUACCUCCUCAUUUCAUGUGAGGAAAAAAAAAGAAGAAAGAUCUUGAGAGUUGCAUUCAGCUCAUCUAGGUUUUUUUCUUUUCUUUUCUUUUCUUUUCUCCUUUUUUAAGGCAGGGUCUCACUCUGUCACCCAGGCUGGAGUACAGUGAUGCUGUACUCCAUAGCUCACUGCAGCCUCAAACCCCUGGGCUUAAGGGAUCCUUCUACCUCAGCUUCCCAAGUAGCUGGGUCUACAGAUGUGUGCCACCACAUGCGGCUAACUUUUAAAAUUUUUGUAGAGAUGGAGAUCUGUCUCACUGUGUUGCCCAGGCUGGUCUCAAACUCCUGGCCUCAAGUGAUCCUCCUGCCUCAGCCUCCCAAAGCACUGGGAUUACAGGCGUGAGCCACCACACCCAGCCAGCUCAUCUAAGUUCAAUAUAGAACAGCUGUGUCUUGUAAGAAAAAACAUUUUGAACAUAUUUGGCUCAACUUAACUGAAAAUGUAAAUAUAAGGUUGCUGUUUAUUUCUAUGGUUUAUCAUUACCGUCAGCUUAAGUGUGAGUUAAACAGUGCUGUCCAUAACCCAUGGUGCCUGCUCUGGCACACAGCGGGACCUGGAGGCUGGGCGGGCAGGGCAGUGUGCCGUUCCUUCUCUUGCUGCAUAACCAGCCAUGGGUCAUGCUCUAUCCUCACCCUGGCCCUGCAGCAAGGCUGUGCAGCACCUGCUCAUGCUCUUAUCUCACAGAGAGAUGCCAUCAAACUGUCCCCAUCAUCACCAGGAUGUGUCACUACCUCACACCAUCCUGGAGCCAGGAGCCACCGCCAGCUCAGUGGCUUCUGUCAGCAUGGUCCAUCACUCCUCACGAUGCUGUCGUCUGCGCUAGGCUCAUCCAGACGGUUCUGCUCCGUGGCGUGUGCUGGGGCUGGAGUGUUCACAGGGGCUGCUGAGCAGGUCCCCACGCUGCCUCUGUGAUGCCUUGAGCUCCUCCAGGUUGUCUGAGUUUCUACAGCCACGGCCACGUCCAAGAGGGGAGAGGCAGGACCCCCAGUCCUCCUAAGAGUUUGGCUUGGAACUGGUGCAGAGUGACUUCUGCCCUUUGUGUUGGUCAGAGCAGGGCACAAGGACAGCCCAGCUUCAGAGGAAGGAGAAAUAGAGUCCACCUCUUCCCAUGAGGCCAGAAUACAUCAUACAGGCAGGAAAGGCAUUUAGAAUCCUUUCUGGAGACUUCUAUAGCCAGCAGGUUCCCAGCUUAGUGUCUGGGGGGUCUGAUUCCCUUUCUGCUGAAAGAGUGAGAAACACUCUCUCCGGCUCCCAGGGAUCUCUGUUUCCCUCCCAGGGUGUCCCUGUUUGUCUCCCGCUGGAAAAGGAAGAAGGAAAAGAACUGUCCUUAUUUCUUCUUUCUUCUGCCUACAUCAAAGCAGGUUUAAAAAAUUAGAAAUUAAGAAUUUAUCAGUAAGAAUGUAGUAAUGUUGAUUUAGGAAAACAAAAUGGCUUAUAACUGCAAGCCAUCCUUAUGUAAAUGUUAAAGCUGAUGGAUCUAGACCAGAAGGGGUCCAGGGGUCUUUGUCUCGGAGAGGCCCAGAUCACAGCUCUCCAAGGUCCAUGCGAGAGGAAUAGUAAACUGAAGCCACACGGCUGCCGUGUAUGCAAAGGGAGCCUGCAGGGUGAGUUUCGUAAAUUAAAGCACCUCUCGGUGUAGACACACACAGACUGACUUCUGCUUGGUCACAGCUUCCAAGCCUCAGGGUAGGUGCAGGCUGAGGGACACCAGGUGCGAGCAUUUUCUGUUUCUUGUCAUGGCACCAGUGUCGUUCCUGUCACCCACGGCACUGAGCUCUGCCCUGGUAACGUCCCUCCCUCCCUCUUAGGCUUUGGCCACCUGCAUUGUUGUGCUACUGGGUCUCCCUGCUAAAGGUUCUGCUUCCUGGUUCCUGCAAGAGCAGAUCUCAGUUUUUCUGUUGUGUU